GACGAACGCUGGCGGCGUGCUUAACACAUGCAAGUCGAACGAUGAAGGAGGAGCUUGCUCCUCUGGAUUAGUGGCGAACGGGUGAGUAACACGUGAGCAAUCUGCCCUUGACUCUGGGAUAAGCGCUGGAAACGGCGUCUAAUACCGGAUACGACCCUCGGAGGCAUCUCCUGUGGGUGGAAAGAACUUCGGUCAAGGAUGAGCUCGCGGCCUAUCAGCUUGUUGGUGAGGUAACGGCUCACCAAGGCGACGACGGGUAGCCGGCCUGAGAGGGUGAUCUGCCACGCUGGGACUGAGACACGGCCCAGACUCCUACGGGAGGCAGCAGUGGGGAAUAUUGCACAAUGGGCGCAAGCCUGAUGCGGCAACGCCGCGUGAGGGACGACGGCCUUCGGGUUGUAAACCUCUUUUAGCAGGGAAGAAGCGAGAGUGACGGUACCUGCAGAAAAAGCACCGGCUAACUACGUGCCAGCCGCCGCUGUAACAC
rnacentral:rRNA from 1 species